GACAAGCAUCAGAAGACACUGAAUUUUCAGACAAUGGAACAUGAGAGGAAAUCAAGUUUUCAGCAUUGAUGGUCAGUCCAUUAUCCAGCGCUUUUGUUGGCACGAGUGCAAGACACGAUGCCUGCCACUUCUUUCCAUCAUCCAAGAGGUAGGUGUAAGGGCCAACUUUUUUCCUAACCUCAACUGGAGGAGUGAAUUUUGGAUGGGCUUUUGGGACAUGUACUGCCUUUUAACGCGCACUUUAUCCCCUUUUUGGAAAGAAAAAAUGGCGCACUUGAUGCUUGUGGUCAAAGCGAGAUUUCAUGACAUGCUGACAUGAUGAAACGCUUCUGCAGUUGUUUAGGCUCAUGACCAGAUGGUGAGGGUUUCAGGACAUUGAGGUGGGUACUUACCUUUUUUACUAUAAUAUUUAUAGUAUUUACUAUAAUAGUCAGUGAGUGUCAGAGCAUAUCAACAGUCCCAGACAGCAGUCUCGAAAGGGCCCACAAUGUCUAUUGCCAGUUUUUCCCAAGGCGCAGAAGGUAAAGGAACAGGCUCGAGUGGAACAGCAGAGGCUUUCACAGUUUUAUCCAGAGAAAAGCAUAACUGACAGGCAGUAAUUUUCUCUGCCACAAGUAUGUCCAUUUUGGGCCACCAAUACAUUUCACGCUGGCGUUGCUUUAUCAGUCCCAGCUCUAUCAGUCCAUUUUGUGGUCAGAAGCGUCAUUAAGGCUUGAUGGUCAGUCUACAGAGUAAAUCUGCGGCCCCACAAGUAUGUCCUCCACCUUUCCAUUGCCCAAACACAUGCCAGAGCCUCCUUUUCAACAGUGGAGUAUUUCUGUUCAGCUGGGGUGAGUUUUCUGGAUGCGUACGUAUGUACGUUCUUGACCAUCAGUGCAUAUUUGUGCGAAGACAGCACCUAGUCCGUAAGCAGACGCGUCAGUAGAAAUGACCACUGGCAGCCCCGGGUCAAAUAGUACAAGAGCAGGACUGUGUACCAAUAUCUUUUUUACCUCAGCCAACUUUGUUGAGCUUCAUCAGACCAGCGAAACCACUCUCAUCUCUCAGGCAUGCACGCAGAGGCAUCACUACGGAAGCGAAAUUGGGAAUAAAUUUGUUGUACCAUGAGAGAAGGCCCAGCAGAGAACGCAACUGAACAGCAUCCAAUGGUGCAGGUGCAUCGAUUAUUGCCGAGAGGUGUUCCUGAUCCAGCUGAAUACCCUGUGACGUCACCAUGUGUCCUAAAAACUUCAAACUCUGCUUUCUGAAUUGACAUUUAGACUCAUUCAGCACCAACCCAGCAUCUUUGAGACGUUGCAGCACAUUUUCUAAUGCUUGAUCAUGCUCUUUUAGUGAGCGUCCCCACACGAUGAUGUCUUCCAGAUAAUUUGCAACAUUCUGGAGUCCUUUUAGAAUGACAACCAUCAUCUUUUGGAAUGCAAAUGGAGCAGAUGCCAAGCCAUAAGGUACCCUGCAGAACCUGAAAAGCCCCUCAUAUGUAAUGAAUGCAGUGAGGUCCUGGCUGUCUUCAUGAAGAGGUACCUGAUGGCACUUUCCAAGUCUAUAGUUGAAAAUACAAUUGCACCUUGCAGUAAUGUCAUCAUCUCCUCCAUGUGUGGCAAUGGGUAGCUGUCUACUAUAAAUGCCUUGUUGGGCCCUCGCAGAUCCACACACAUGCAGAUCCCCCCAGUUUUAUUUUGUACCACAACAAUUGGGGAAACCCAUGGAGAUGAGUCAAUUCAGUUCCAGUCGUUCCAGUUCUGCGGAAACAGCAUCUCUCACAGAGAAAGCCCAAUGAAGCACGCUGUGAUGGAGGAGUGGAGAGGGCACAGGCUGAAGUGGAUUGUGGCGGCGGCAGCACAGUGUGUCCAUCAAAUCGAAGCUGGAGUCCCUUAAUCAGGUCCAUGCCUUGCAAAGCUGUGCCAUUGUCGACUAUGAAGAAGUGUGCAGGACAGGUAAUGCCAUAUUUGGAUACCGUUGCAGGUAAACAUCCUAGUACUGAAAUUGGUUCUUGUAAGUAAGUAAUUAAACAGGCAGUAGGUGCUUGUAAUGGUACAGUGUGAAAAUGCUUCUCAUAUAAUUGUUUUGGCAGGAUGGACACUGAUGAACCAGAGUCCACUGUGAGUUGAAGAGACAGGGGUGGCAGCAGGUGUGGCAUUUAUGGUCACAUCACAGAUCAAACGGUCAGUUGCUCCAGGUAGAUAGAGAAUACAGACCUCUGGCAAUUCAACUGAAUGCACUGAACGAGUAGGAGCAGAAUGGCAGACUCGUGUAAAAUGUCCAUCUUAUUGCAAUUCUUACAUUUAGCAGAUGCAGCAGGGCAGUUCUGUGCAUUUGCAAGAUGUCCAGUGGAGCCACAGCGGAAGCAUGUCCGAGCUGAUGGAGCAGAAGCAGAGGGUUUUGAUGAGUCCUCCUUGUUCCUGCGCCUGUACGCCUGGAAACUGUUCGCUUCUGGAUCGCUUGGACGGGUUAUUUUCCUGCCCGAACUACUGACUAUGCACCGCUGGAUUAUAUUGCACCUGCUACAGUUCUUCUGCUAUUGUCUCAUUGCAGUGGUUUAAAUAAAGA